UUACGUUUUGCCCUGCGGUGCAUCCUGGGAGAAGGGGAGUGUGUACUUACGUUUUGCCCUGCGGUGCAUCCUGGGAGAAGGGGAGUGUGUACUUACGUUUUGCCCUGCGGUGCAUCCUGGGAGAAGGGGAGUGUGUACUUACGUUUUGCCCUGCGGUGCAUCCUGGGAGAAGGGGAGUGUGUACUUACGUUUUGCCCUGCGGUGCAUCCUGGGAGAAGGGGAGUGUGUACUUACGUUUUGCCCUGCGGUGCAUCCUGGGAGAAGGGGAGUGUGUACUUACGUUUUGCCCUGCGGUGCAUCCUGGGAGAAGGGGAGUGUGUACUUACGUUUUGCCCUGCGGUGCAUCCUGGGAGAAGGGGAGUGUGUACUUACGUUUUGCCCUGCGUGCUCAUGCUCAAAUCAUUUUGAUGCACUGAGAGAGGAAGAGGCAACGUUUCUCAGAACAUAUGUGCUCUACAAAUGUUUCAUUUCAUUUUGGAUGCAGAGGAAGGCAUCCGAUCAGCAAACAUCAUCAAAGCAGAAAAGAGGACAAGCUGAAAGUCGGAUCCCAUCAACAUCUCCAGAGGCAUCAACAUCAAGCUCAGCACCAGGAACUAGUGUAAUGCACUUUCUAAUAUCAUACUAAAAUCUACAAAAUCUUUCCAUGACUCCAUGAUGAGCAAAUACAUAUACUGGGGCUAGGCAUAGACAUGGUCCUUGUCUUAUUUGGUGUGUUUACAAGUAGGCCACAAAUUCUACUGUAGUUAUUUCUGUAUUAUGGAGGCUUAGUUGAUUGUUCAUGCAAGGCUUGAAGUCUAAAUUGGAGUAAAAGAGGUGUUAGUAAGGAGGGGAUGGUGUGGGUGACUGGCUGGUGUCUGUUAGGGGUGGAUAUUGUGUGUGAAGGCUAGUAUGCAUGAUCUUGUCAUGUUUUGUCAUAUAUUGUCAUGUCUUGUCCUUGUGCUUCCCCUUCUGUUCAUUUCCCCCUACUGGUCUUAUUAGGUUCUUUCCCUCUUUCUAUCCCUCUCUCUCUCCCUCCCUC